UACCGUUUCAAAAAAAAAGGCAACCGCUUAAUUACCUUAUUACCCCUUCUUCCUCUUUCUCUCUUUUUCAAUUCCUCGAAAUGAUGCGCUGAAGGUUUUGAAUGAUAAGGUGAACGAUUGUCCGACAUCAUUCGCCUUUUUAAGCUCUAUUCCUUAGCUUACGCUGAGUUCCACUGUAAUGCCAAGUUGCUGUUAUCUCUAUCCACCAUCACCACCACCACCAUCACCUUAUCAGCCUCCUAUGACCACCAGAAUCACGCUCUACGCGCCAACUCACCCCCUUCUCCCCUGAACCAUCUUCAACAUAACCUAGCGAAACCCUAGCCUAUGUCAUAACCACCAUAGACGAUACGCCUGCUUUCACCUACACCUCAAUGAAGAUAUUCUUAUGCUUAAUGAAUAGUGAUUUCCAACCUUGCGUAGGUUACUUGUACGAUGUAUUCUAUUAGAGGAAAGCGGUGGGUAUCGUAUGAGGAACCGUAGAGGUUAGACUCAAAGCCAUUUUGAAGGAUGAAGAAGGAAACACUCGUACUUUUUGUAAUCUAUCCUUAUACUCCUUAUUGUUAAACAUCAAAUUUAUAGGUUUUUAGCAUGUCUUGAGCUACUUAUCAUUGAUGUCAUGUUGAGCUCUUGCAUCUUCAGUGGCAUGUAUUUAGAAUUCCAGUUUUUCCAUUGUCUUCAAACAAAGGUCAGAGAAAUUGUGGAUGAUCUAUGUUCUUUGAGCCUUGGAUAAAUGAUGAAGAGGGUAACAGAUAAUGUGGAGAAAUAUGAGAUUGGUCGAACAAUUGGUGAAGGCACAUUUACAGAGUUCAAGUUUGCAAAAAAUACAGAGACUGGUGUGGCUAUUGUUGUUAAGGUUCUAGCUAAAAACACAAAACUGAAGCAUAAAUUGGUGGAUCAGGUUUUGUCAAGCCAUAUAAAGAUAUAUGAUACUGGAAUUUGUCACUAGAGGAGAGCUUUUUGGCAGAAUCGUAAGCUCUACUUUUGAUAGAACAGUGAUAAUAAUAAUGUCCUGCAAGAACGAACAAAGUUAAAAGUUCAAGUGUUGCAAGGAAAUGGUUGUGAUGAGCUAUUGAAGAUAAUGGACUAUGUUUCCCUGCCGCAUUUCUACAGACACUACUUCUGACUGCUACUCAUUAGACCGUCCUUUUCAUCAAGAAUUUUACAGCUACAUAAAGCAGCUAUCUGGAGUCCAUGAACCAAUUAAACCAACAAAACAAGGGUCAAUGAAUCAUGUUGAAGUACCCUUGGGAGACAAAACAUUGGAAUCCAAAUUGAAGAAGCUUUGAAACCAUAAGAGUCUCUCUGGGUCCUUUCAGAAUUUCAAGAUUGGCGAUUAAGGUCCUCAGUAUCCAUGUUAGUGUUUGGUGUGGUUCAGUCCUUAGUAGCUUAAAGUACAUUGUUGCAGUAUUCUUCAAAACAUAUCAGAUAAAGUUAUCUCUAUUUAUACCCAAGAAGGUAAAUUCUUUAUGCAUUUCAUAUUUGUUUCAAACAAAAAAUCAAUUAAUUAGGUUACUUGUUUUUUAUAACUGGUUUGGUUUAGUCCCGAUAAGUUUUCUUUUAACUUAAUGUAAAAAAGAAAGAGGAAAUUUAUACCAAAGAAGGAUCCAUGUUCAUUUUAAUAUAUUUCCCUUUUAAUGUUGUCCCAUGUAACAUAUCUUUCUGGCUGAUUAGGUUUGGUUGGAAUGGAAUUAUAUAACAUGGUUUGUAAUUGGUUGCUGAAUAGGGUUUGAAUGCAAUCAUGUGAACGUGGGUGGAAUGGCUGGGAGGAAAUCUUGAUGUUGUACAAGUGACAUCAAGUACGGUUGAAUGGUGUAUUAAGUACGGUUGUAUGGUGUAUUAGAUGACAUUGAUAGGAUUCAUAUAGUACGGUUAAAAAGCCGUACUCUAUUAGGCAUGUAAUCUAAUACACCCCUCUAUUAAUACGCCCUCUAUGUACGUACUAUAUUCAUAAUUUCAACCGUACUCUAUUAACCUU